rnacentral:piRNA from 1 species
UCUCCUACCAGUGGGUGAACGAGCUCCUU